GACGAACGCUGGCGGCGUGCUUAACACAUGCAAGUCGAGCGGUAAGGCCCUUUUGGGGGUACACGAGCGGCGAACGGGUGAGUAACACGUGGGUGACCUGCCCUCAGCUCUGGGAUAAGCCUGGGAAACUGGGUCUAAUACUGGAUAUGACCUUUCCUCGCAUGGGGUUGGGUGGAAAGUUUUUCGGCUGGGGAUGGGCCCGCGGCCUAUCAGCUUGUUGGUGGGGUGAUGGCCUACCAAGGCGACGACGGGUAGCCGGCCUGAGAGGGCGACCGGCCACACUGGGACUGAGACACGGCCCAGACUCCUACGGGAGGCAGCAGGUGGGGAAUAUUGCGCAAUGGGCGGAAGCCUGACGCAGCGACGCCGCGU
rnacentral:rRNA from 1 species